CACAUCAUCAUCUUCCCCAACCUCCCCACUCCCAAACCCUAAUUUUCCCUCCCCCCACCUGCCGCCACCACCAUCGCCGCCGACAGCCGCCGCCCUCUCACCUCUCAACCUCUCAUGUCUCCCUCUUCUUCGGUAAACCCUCUACCUCUAGAAAUCUUCAGCGGUGGAAAAGGUGUAAAUCGGGCAAAUUGAGCUUUCCCACACUGCCUGUUUCGAUUUCUCACUUUCUUCAACCAUCGUUUUCCUUCCUCGCUAAUUUCUGCAGAUUUGUGUUUUGGGAUGUGAAGUGGAAACGAGAGUUUGGGUUUUGACGAGAAAUCGUACAAUAUGUC
rnacentral:lncRNA from 1 species